GUGAGCGGUAACAGCUCAAAUUUGAAAUCUGGCCGCAAGGUCCGAGUUGUAAUUUGUAGAGGAUGUUUCGAGCAUGGUCUGGCCUAAGUUCCUUGGAACAGGACGUCAUAGAGGGUGAGAAUCCCGUAUGCGGUCAGGUGCCUACGCUCAUGUGAAACUCCUUCGACGAGUCGAGUUGUUUGGGAAUGCAGCUCAAAAUGGGUGGUAAAUUUCAUCUAAAGCUAAAUAUUGGCCAGAGACCGAUAGCGCACAAGUAGAGUGAUCGAAAGAUGAAAAGCACUUUGGAAAGAGAGUUAAACAGUACGUGAAAUUGUUGAAAGGGAAGCGCUUGCAACCAGACUUGCGCGCGGCUGAUCAUCCGGGCUUCUGCCCGGUGCACUCGGUCGCGCUCAGGCCAGCAUCGGUUUUGGUGGCGGGAUAAAGGCCUUGGGAAUGUAGCUCCUCUCGGGGAGUGUUAUAGCCCAGGGUGCAAUGCCGCCUACCGGGACCGAGGACCGCGCUUCGGCUAGGAUGCUGGCGUAAUGGUUGUAAGCGACCCGUCUUGAAACACGGAC
rnacentral:rRNA from 1 species